rnacentral:rRNA from 1 species
AGCGAACGCUGGCGGCAGGCCUAACACAUGCAAGUCGAACGGAUCCUUCGGGAUUAGUGGCGGACGGGUGAGUAACACGUGGGAACGUGCCCUUUGGUUCGGAACAACUCAGGGAAACUUGAGCUAAUACCGGAUGUGCCCUUCGGGGGGAAGAUUUAUCGCCAUUGGAGCGGCCCGCGUCUGAUUAGCUAGUUGGUGAGGUAAAGGCUCACCAAGACGACGAUCAGUAGCUGGUCUGAGAGGAUGAUCAGCCACAUUGGGACUGAGACACGGCCCAAACUCCUACGGGAGGCAGCAGUGGGGAAUCUUGCGCAAUGGGCGAAAGCCUGACGCAGCCAUGCCGCGUGAAUGAUGAAGGUCUUAGGAUUGUAAAAUUCUUUCACCGGGGACGAUAAUGACGGUACCCGGAGAAGAAGCCCCGGCUAACUUCGUGCCAGCAGCCGCGGUAA